GAUGAAGAACGUAGCGAAAUGCGAUAAGUAAUGUGAAUUGCAGAAUUCAGUGAAUCACCGAAUCUUUGAACGCACCUUGCGCCCUUUGGCCAUUCCGAAGGGCAUGCCUGUUUGAGUAUCAUGAACACCUCAACUCUUCAUGGUUUUCCAUGAUGAGCUUGGACUUUGGGGGUCUUGCUGGCCUGUGGGUCGGCUCCUCUCAAAUGAAUCAGCUUGCCGGUUUUUGGUGGGCAUCACAGGUGUGAUAACUAUCUACGCUUGUGGUUUUCCACCAGGGUAACCUUCAGCAGUGGAGGUUCACUGGAGCUUACAAAUGUCUCUCCUCUGUGAGGACAGCCCUUUGAAUGUUUGAUCUCAAAUCAGGUAGGACUACCCGCUGAACUUAAGCAUAUCAAUAAGCGGAGGA
rnacentral:misc_RNA from 1 species